AGAGUCCUGGGGGAGCUCUCUCCACCUGUCUUGGCCUAUGUGGUAUGUUUUCUGAUGGGAUGUUCACUUAUGGGAUUGAGCCUCUUUUCGAUGGGACCAAUCAGACUGAGGGGGCCCACCUGGG